GUAGUAUUAGUUAUAUUCUUAAAAUUUAAAGAAUUUGGCGGUGUUUUAGUCUAUUUAGAAGAAUCUGUUCUGUUAUUGAUAAUCCACGUUGACCCUUACUUAAAUUUGUAUUCAAUUUGUAUAUCGUCGUCAUCAGAAUAUAUUAUAAGAUGUCAGGUCAAGGUGCAGUUUAUGUUAAGUAGAAAUGAAUUACAAUAGAUUUAUUUAUACGGAUAAUUUUUUGAAAUAAAAAUUUGAGGUGGAUUUAAUAGUAAUAUAAAAUAGAUUAU
rnacentral:rRNA from 1 species